GACGAACGCUGGCGGCGUGCUUAACACAUGCAAGUCGAACGAUGAACCCGGAGCUUGCUCCGGCGGAUUAGUGGCGAACGGGUGAGUAACACGUGAGUAACCUGCCCUUGACUCUGGGAUAACUGCUAGAAAUGGUAGCUAAUACCGGAUACGACCCUCGGUGGCAUCACCAGGGGGUGGAAAGAAUUUCGGUCAAGGAUGGACUCGCGGCCUAUCAGCUAGUUGGUGAGGUAACGGCUCACCAAGGCGACGACGGGUAGCCGGCCUGAGAGGGCGCCACGGCACCUUGGGACAGAGACACGGCCCAGUCUCCUACGGGCGGCAGCAGUGGGGAAUAAGACACUAUGGGCGCAAGCCAGAUGCAGCAACGCCGCGUUAGGGAUGUCGGACUUCAGGUUGUAAACCUCUUUUAGUAGGGAAGAAGCGAAAGUGACGGUACCUGCAGAAAAAGCACCGGCUAACUACGUGCCAGCAGCCGCAGUAA
rnacentral:rRNA from 1 species